CGGAGUAUAAAUCAUGUAAUAAUCCAUCAUCCUUUCACCCUAUGUUUCAGAAACCCUAAUCUCCUUCGCCUCCAUCGUUCGUUCUUACAUCAUUGGUCAUCGAUAUCAAAUCACCAUUCUUUUGUAAACCCUAACCUUCCUUCCCCUUCAUCAUGAAUCAUCAUUCUCUUCUCCAAUGGUUAAACAAACCAGAUAGGGUUUCCAUUUCCUCAUCGCAAUCCGAUUUCAAAUCUCAGAAACCCUAUGCAAUCCGAAGAUAUCUUUAGGGUUGUUUUCGAAGCCCUAGAUAUCACAUACAUCUUCCUUCUCGAUGAAGCCUCUUAAAUCUAAACAUUCAAGCAUCAGUCUAGGGUUCCGGUGGUAGAACUCAAGCAGAUCGGUGGAAAUAAAGACGAGUUCCCAGGUGUAGAUGGUGGUUGAGGUAGGUCCCGACAAACUGAGUUGCAGAUCUAGGGUUUAACUUUCAUGUGUGGAUUUUUUAACUCUAAAGUUGCUUCUGAGGGGAUCCAUCUGCAAUUUCUUCCAUUUGUUGUGCUGCCUCUGCCCUUUAGUAUCCUGCAGGUAUGUUCGAUAUAAUAUUUUCGGUUAAUUUAGUUGAUAUAUUAUUAGAUCAUGUUUAAAAAUAACACGCCUCGAAAGGUUCAGAAGUUAUCUUAGCAUUAGUGUUGGAAUCAAUGGAAUUUUGUUUGAAGUCGUGUGGUUCUAAAGCGAGUGCAUUGGAAGAGUUAUCAAAUGCUAUAAAAUUGGCCCCUACAAGAAGGGACUUUAUUGAAAGUGGUCGUUUGUUAUUGGCGCAACUUUUAUCUCCAACGGGUCAUAUGGGGUUAAGCUGGUCAAAAGUGCAAAAAGGUAACAAGUGUUAGUCGUCAUCGAAAAGAUUAACUGUAUGAUAAUCUCACCAGUGGAUGGAUAAGUACACAUUUGGAAAGCCUGAGCAUUAAAAACCUGCAAUUGCAAAGCCUGAGCAUUAUAUGUUUCUGAUGAUUUUUUUUACAGUUUGCGAUUACAGCAGCAAUCAUCACUGUGUGCACGAUGGGCACUGUUUCAGUACAGUGAUAAAACAUUGGUGUUUGUCUAUUUCUUUCUGUUUGGGCUCAGUGGCAUAAUGCUAUCGUCCCUGAUCUCUACUUUCUUCACACGAGCAAAAUCGGCUAUGGCAGUUGGAGCUCUUGCUUUUCUUGGAGCCUUUUUUCCUUAUUAUAUGGUCAAUGAAGAAGCUGUUUCUAUGUAAGUUACUGAUAUAUAAUAUUAACCAAUGAAUGGUGCAGUUAUGUUUUAUGAUGAUAAUGGGCAUUUGGAUCCAAGGGUUAGUGAGCAAGAAAUCAAGGAGGAAUUUUGCACCUUCGGUGUUAUCCGCAAACAAGAAAAUAACCAGUGCCAAACUGUCACUAUGGUCGGAAAUAGCUCCAGUAAUACCGCCAGCAAGCCUAUCCGUUAAGUAUAAUGUUUGCCUGUGCUACAUGUAGAAGACAACUUCAAAUGCAAUUUUGUGCUACAAAAGUGAGAGAAACUGCCACUUUUAUUGCAGGAAUGUCCCGAUGGAGCACAUGGAAAGUAGAUGGAGAUUUGGAUCUUGAUUAUCCACAUGGAUGUAAACGAGUCAAACAUGAUUUUGUUUGACCUAAGAGAGUUUGAGCUUAAUGUCUACUGGUUUAGUUUAGUGCUCUAGGUUCUAUGCGUUCUCAAUGACUUGGUGUAAUCUAUUUCUAAUAUCAUAUAUUUGUGGAUCAUAUGUAUAAGUAGAAAAGUAGUUACAAAAUAGGGUGUAGAUGAGCUUAGCCGACCCGCUUUCAUGCCAUAUAAUUUAAGAUGUCCUGAGCUAGACUCAUUUAGAGCUUCAUUUUUAAAGCUCAAGUUUGAUUUGUAAUAUAAUAUAAUAAUUUUUUCAAAUUUGAGUUUGACCUGGACUAGAUUUGUUUAUUAUUUAUUAAUAUUUAGAAUUAUUAUAUUUAAAUGCAUAUGUUAUUACUUUUACGUAUGUAUGUUUAGAAUUAUAAGUGGGUUAAAACUCGUGUAUUAUUAAAAGUUGCCAGUGUACAUAUUAGUCAUAUUAUUUUCACGUGUUAUCCAUAUCCUCUUAGAGAAUAGAUUGUCUUUUCACUCUUAUCUAUCAAAAAACAAAACCAUAAAACAGACGCACUCGCCACAACGCGCAGACAUUCUCACUAGCAAGUGAGAUUUCUUUUUAUUUGAAGUUUGAUUUAUUUUAAUUAUAUGUAUGCAGCUUUUACACUUCCUUUCAAUGUUUACUGAAAGCCUAAUACUUGGUUUGUUCCACACAUACAUCUUCCAUUGUGUGUAACCAGAAUACCAUUCAACAUGCUGAAUUCAAUAUGAUCAAAUUAGGUGAAGCAAGAGACGAGAAGCCAAAGAAAGUGCAAUAUGAACUUGUAUUAGUCUCUGCUCUUCAAUGGAUGCUGAGAUGAAAUAUGUUGUUGAGUUACACAAUUGGUGUGAUCCAAAAAAAAUAUGGGUAAUAGGCCCCUUUGGCUAUUCAUCCACCAUGGCGUGUCUUCUUAGGCAUUUGGCAGAGGCGUCUUUGAGAAUUCACGUACCCUGUUCAAGCUUGAAGAAACGUGCCCUUCCGUAAUGUUUUAUUAUUUUUUUAAAUCAAAUUAUUAUCAGGCUUAAUAAACCUGAUGCCAAGUGGGCUAAAUUCUAAACCAUGAUAAACGAUUUGUAAAUAGACCUAUAUUGGAAUUGUUA